GGCAGUGUACCAUAGUGGUAAGGAGCAGGGCUUAUAACUAAAAGGUUGCUGGUUCAAUUCCUGCUGGGGCACUGCUG